CUCGAGUUGGACGUUGCGCACGUCGCUACAUAAAGCUCGAAUAAUAAUAUGCCCCAUAUAAUCUCUUCCCACCUUCACCUCUCACCUCCCCACCUUCGGAGUUCCCUCUUUCCAAGCUUCAAAUACUCAUGGCUCGGAAGGUGAUACUGAAGGUGUUGACGAUGGCAGACGACAAAACGAAGCAGAAGGCCAUCGAAGCUGCUGCUGAUAUUUUCCGUAUCAUAAUUCAUAACCCUUAAUCUGUUCAUUUUCAAGCUAUUCUCUCACGCGAGGAUUUAUAAUUACGUAAGAAUCAGUUGGUGUUGCUGCAAAUCCUGGGGCUGGUUUACUUUGUCAUCUGGUCAUUUAAUGAAUUUAUGUGGCUGACGGGUGCUUUCCAUUAUGCGCUGCGAGGAAAGGGGUGGACUCGAUAGCGGCGGAUUUGACGGAUCAGAAGCUGACGGUAAUAGGGCUGAUGGACACGGUGGCGGUGGUGAAGAAGCUGAAGAAAGUGGGGAAGGUGGACAUCAUAUCGGUAGGACCAGCGGUGGAGGAGAAGAAAGAGGAGAAGAAGGAAGAGAAGAAAGAGGACAAGAAAGAGGAAAA